rnacentral:rRNA from 1 species
GACGGCGGCUUUGCCUGCGUGUGUGCGUGAUCAACCGACGUGUCCGAGUUUGGUUGUUAUGUAGACUGCGAAGGCAGCUCUGAUGAUAGCUCGGGUCUGUUCGGCUGAUGGUUGCACGCGCGACACGAUCUUGUUGGGCCAAAAGUCUGUGGUGUAGUGGUAGACUAUCCAUCCGACCCGUCUUGAAACACGGACCAAGGAGAGUAACAUGUGCGCGAGUCAUUGGGUUCUACGAAACCCAAAGGCGCAGUGAAAGUGAAGGUCUGGCUUGUCCAGACUGAGGUGAGAUUCUGUCGUUUCUCAUGCGCGGUAUCACCAAGCUUCGAGCGACAGACGCAUCACCGGCCCGUCCCAUGACAAUUGUUUUCGAGCCUUAAUCAGUCGGGGCGGAGCAUGAGCGCACAUGUUGAGACCCGAAAGAUGGUGAACUAUGCUUGUGCAGGUUGAAGC